UAGAGUUUGAUCCUGGCUCAGGAUGAACGCUAGCGGCAGGCCUAACACAUGCAAGUCGAGGGGUAGAGGGUGCUUGCACCCUUGAGACCGGCGCACGGGUGCGUAACGCGUAUGCAACCUACCUAUUGCAGGGGAAUAGCCCAGGGAAACUUGGAUUAAUGCCCCAUAGUCCAUAUUGAGAGCAUUCGAUAUAUGGUAAAGAUUUAUCGGCAAUAGAUGGGCAUGCGUCCCAUUAGCUAGUUGGUAUGGUAACGGCAUACCAAGGCUACGAUGGGUAGGGGCCCUGAGAGGGGGAUCCCCCACACUGGUACUGAGACACGGACCAGACUCCUACGGGAGGCAGCAGUGAGGAAUAUUGGACAAUGGGCGGGAGCCUGAUCCAGCCAUGCCGCGUGCAGGAAGACUGCCCUAUGGGUUGUAAACUGCUUUUUUACGGGAAGAAACACCCCCACGUGUGGGGGCUUGACGGUACCGUACGAAUAAGGACCGGCUAACUCCGUGCCAGCAGCCGCGGUAAUACGGAGGGUCCGAGCGUUAUCCGGAAUCAUUGGGUUUAAAGGGUCCGUAGGCGGGCGUCUAAGUCAGUGGUGAAAUCUCGCGGCUCAACCGUGAAAUUGCCAUUGAUACUGGUCGCCUUGAAUUAGUGUGAAGUGGCUAGAAUAUGUAGUGUAGCGGUGAAAUGCUUAGAUAUUACAUAGAAUACCGAUUGCGAAGGCAGGUCACUAACACUAUAUUGACGCUGAUGGACGAAAGCGUGGGGAGCGAACAGGAUUAGAUACCCUGGUAGUCCACGCCGUAAACGAUGGAUACUAGCUGUCCGGCCUGCAUUGGUAGGCUGGGUGGCCAAGCGAAAGUGAUAAGUAUCCCACCUGGGGAGUACGUUCGCAAGAAUGAAACUCAAAGGAAUUGACGGGGGCCCGCACAAGCGGUGGAGCAUGUGGUUUAAUUCGAUGAUACGCGAGGAACCUUACCAGGGCUUAAAUGUAGUCUGACAGGGGUGGAAACACCCCCUUCUUCGGACAGACUGCAAGGUGCUGCAUGGUUGUCGUCAGCUCGUGCCGUGAGGUGUCAGGUUAAGUCCUAUAACGAGCGCAACCCCUGUCGUUAGUUGCCAGCAUGUAAAGAUGGGAACUCUAACGAGACUGCCGGUGCAAACCGUGAGGAAGGUGGGGAUGACGUCAAAUCAUCACGGCCCUUACGUCCUGGGCCACACACGUGCUACAAUGGCAGGUACAAUGGGCAGCCACGCCGCAAGGCGGAGCGAAUCCACAAAACCUGUCUCAGUUCAGAUCGGGGUCUGCAACUCGACCCCGUGAAGCUGGAAUCGCUAGUAAUCGGAUAUCAGCCAUGAUCCGGUGAAUACGUUCCCGGGCCUUGUACACACCGCCCGUCAAGCCAUGGAAGCUGGAAGCACCUGAAGUCCGUCACCGCGAGGAGCGGCCUAGGGUGAAGCUGGUAACUGGGGCUAAGUCGUAACAAGGUAACCA
rnacentral:rRNA from 1 species